UACAGAGGGUGCAAGCGUUAAUCGGAAUUACUGGGCGUAAAGCGUGCGUAGACGGUCAUGUAAGUCGGGUGUGAAAGCCCCGGGCUCAACCUGGGAAUUGCAUUCGAGACUGCAUGGCUAGGGUGCGGAAGAGGGAAGCGGAAUUUCCGGUGUAGCGGUGAAAUGCGUAGACAUCGGAAGGAACACCAGUGGCGAAAGCGGCUUCCUGGUCCAGCACCGACGUUCAGGCACGAAAGCGUGGGGAGCAAACAGG
rnacentral:rRNA from 1 species